CUGAGAGCGGCGGACGGGUGAGUAAUGCCUAGGAAUCUGCCUGGUAGUGGGGGAUAACGUUCGGAAACGGACGCUAAUACCGCAUACGUCCUACGGGAGAAAGCAGGGGACCUUCGGGCCUUGCGCUAUCAGAUGAGCCUAGGUCGGAUUAGCUAGUUGGUGGGGUAAUGGCUCACCAAGGCGACGAUCCGUAACUGGUCUGAGAGGAUGAUCAGUCACACUGGAACUGAGACACGGUCCAGACUCCUACGGGAGGCAGCAGUGGGGAAUAUUGGACAAUGGGCGAAAGCCUGAUCCAGCCAUGCCGCGUGUGUGAAGAAGGUCUUCGGAUUGUAAAGCACUUUAAGUUGGGAGGAAGGGCAGUAAAUUAAUACUUUGCUGUUUUGACGUUACCGACAGAAUAAGCACCGGCUAACUCUGUGCCAGCAGCCGCGGUAAUA
rnacentral:rRNA from 1 species